rnacentral:lncRNA from 1 species
AUGGGCUGCCUGAAUGCAGCUGGCAGGGCCGGCACUGGGCUGAUGAGCUGCAGAGUGGGAACCCAGCUGGCCCAGCAAGCACCGAGGCAUCAUUGCCCCACACAGCGCUGUCCCAUCGGGGACAGAGGGCACACUGGGGCUGUGGGUACAUCAUCCCUACGUCCCUACAGGCCAGGGCUCACCCGAACGGGGCACAGAACAAACCGAGCGCCCCGGAGCCCCCUGCGCUCCAGGGAACGCCCCAGCGCCCUCACACCUCCGAGGCCCCAAAGAUGCCCCACCUCCAGGCGCUACGCUCCCCCGGUAUCACCCCAAGGUCUGGUACCCCCCCCUUGUUCAAGUGUCCCCCCGGUGCCCCCCAAUACCGCCCCACACCCACCGGCCCCGCACGGCUCAGACCGUUCCGCGCUCCUCCAUGCCCGCCCCGGGCCGCCCCCGCCCCUUCCUGCUCCGACAGGCCGCCGCCCGCACCUGCUCAUCCCUCCUCCCCUUCGCCCCACCCCGUUGCCGUUGCCGUUCCCUCCCCCCAGCCCUCCUCAGCUCCUCCCCAGGGCACCCUCGGGCUCAGCCCCGAAGCACCACUGCGAGAACCGCCACGGGCCCCACUCGGGGACGCCACUCAGGGCCCGGCCCGGAGCGACCCCACCAGGCCCAGGCCUGGACCCGGCCCUAAGAGGCCCGAAGCCUCCACCUGGGACGCCCCCUGCCGGCCUGGCGGACUCUUUGAACGCGCCCCGCCCUUUGCGCGGCACACGCAAGCAGCCGAGGAGCUCUGUGAUUGGGCGGGCCGGAGAAGCUCCGCCCCCGGCGCCCCGGAUGCUGGGCGGCGCGGCGAGACGGGUGUUCUGGACAUUUCCGCAGCAUCAGCCCCGCCCCUUCCCGGGCCGGACCAACCGGUGCUCGGCGCUGGGCUUUCUUUUAGCCAAUAGAAAAGAGGAACCAGAGAGAGUGGGUGGGUCCACUUGCUACUGCCAAGGUGCGGCAGCCAAUGAGCUGCGGGCGUUCGGGGGCGGGGCCGAUCCCGGUGGUAGGCGCGGCGCGGCGCGGGGCCUGCUGGGAGGCGCGCGGAGCGGUUGUGACGCAGCUUCCUCUGCGUGA